rnacentral:tRNA from 1 species
GGCUCGUUGGUCUAGGGGUAUGAUUCUCGCUUAGGGUCAAGAGGUCCCGGGUUCAAGUCCCGGACGAGCCC